UGCGGGAUCGUCUAAUGGUAGGACGCCUGACUCUGGAUCAGGUAGUCAAGGUUCGAGUCCUUGUCCCGCAG
rnacentral:tRNA from 2 species